GAUUAAAAAAAAAGUAGGCAAAAAAUUUAUAAUUACAUGAACUGAAGCAUCAAAAAGGUUAGUAUGUGGAGAUCAAAAAUCUAGUAUACUUUUAAAUUAUAGUACCGUAAGGGAAAACUCUAAUUUUUUAAAAGUCGAUUAUAUAUUGUACCUUUUGCAUCAUGGUUUAGCAAGAUUUUUUUAAAAUUAAUUUUCUCGAAAUCUAAGGAGCUAUUUUAUAUUUUUUAAUAGAAAAAAUUGUGGUAGAUGUGGCACAAUCUUACAAAAAGUAUAAAAUAGAAAUGAAAUGUUAUUCGCAUUAGAUGAUAGCUAGUUAUAACAAAAACAUAUAUAAGUAUUGAAGUUAAUUGUGGUUAUUGAGAAAUUUCUUUUCAACUUCUUUAGCAUUUCAUGUGUAUAAGGCUAAGCUUGUACAUAUUUUGAAAAGGAGAUAGUUUCUUUAUUGUUUACUUAGGCUUAAUAUUAGCUAUAAUUAAAGAGUUUGUUAUAAAACAUACUUAUAAGUAGUAAAAUUUAUAGCUGAUUUUUCAUUAUAUUAUGUUAUCUAACCAAAAAACUACUUUUAAGUUUAGUUUAUGCUAAAAUGAGUAUUAUGAUUGUGUUUUAGGGUUAAAAAUAGAUAUAGCUCCAUGGAAUAAAACGUAUACAAAUUACAUUUAAAGAACUCGGCAAAUAUGUGCUCCGCCUGUUUAGCAAAAACAUGGCUCCUUGAUUUUUACAUAUAGGGAGUUUUACCUGCCCGGUGAUUUUUAUAAACGAUUAAACGGCCGCAGUACCCUGACUGUGCAAAGGUAGCAUAAUAAUUUGCCUUAUAAUUGAUGGCUAGUAUGAAGGGUUCGACGAGAGCAUGCCUGUCUCUUAUGUAUUAUCUAAAAUUUAUUUUUUAAGUUAAAAAUCUUAAAUAAAAUUAAAGGACGAGAAGACCCUAUCGAGCUUUAAAAGAAUAAUCAGAAAAGGUAAAUUACACUAUUUUCUAGUUAAUAUUUUAGUUGGGGCGACUGGGGAAUAAGAAAAGCUUCCUUGUAAAAUAAAAUAAACACGAUCCAAUAUAUAUUGAUAGUGGAAUUAGUUACCGUAGGGAUAACAGCGUUAUUUUUUCGGAGAGCACGCAUCAAAGAAAAAGCUUGCGACCUCGAUGUUGGAUUGAGAUAACUCAAAGGCGUAGGGGCUUUUAUAAGUUAGUCUGUUCGACUAUAAAAAUCUCACAUGAUCUGAGUUCAGACCGGCGUAAGCCAGGUCAGUUUCUAUCCUUUAUUUUUCUUUUUUACCUUUGUACGAAAGGACUAGGUAAAAACAAUACCUUGUUAAUUUAUAAA
rnacentral:rRNA from 1 species